UAGUAAGGUAUAGAUAGGUCGUGACGUCAAAUUAUCGUAUCCUUCGUCUGAAUCAUUGAUACCUUAACAGAAAAACUAUCAAUUAUGGUGAAGUAUCGACGUAUCACGUACAAGAUUACAGUUUACGAUGAGAAUCUUCGUUUUCGAGUACUUCGUAAUCCUCAUCACUUGAUAACCAAUUCUAAGUUGAACACAGAAAAGGGCUUCAAAGAGGACUAAAUGAGAUCUUCCUAUCUCUAACAAGACAAUUAAGCAGCCCAUUCAGAUCUUGACUUCGCAGCUGGAACGCAAGACAAGUCGGUCCAUCUGCGAAAUUGAAUGUGGCAAAUGAUUGAGAGUAUAUAAGGCAGUUAUUGUGAACCUAUAAGAUUAGAAAUGAAUAGAAAUAAUUUGAGAUACACUUAUAUCAAAUGUUAAUGUGACUGAAAAUAUGAUUCAUGAUAUUGUUGAACAAGUCCUAAUAAUCGAAAUAAUUUGAACAGUACAAUAUAAAUGAUUUUACAAUUUGUUAGAUAGAUAUCCUGUAUUGUAGAUCAAUGAAAAUC
rnacentral:misc_RNA from 1 species